CCCAACGUUUUACGUCGGGCUGAAAUCGGGCGUUCUUUCAGAACU
rnacentral:sRNA from 1 species